rnacentral:lncRNA from 10 species
UGUUGGCCAGGCUGGUGUCAAACUCCUGAUCUCAAGUGAUCUGCCCACCUCGGCCUCUCAAAGUGCUGGGAUUACAGGCAUGAGCCAUCACACUCAGUCUCAUCUAUGGGAUAUUUAGUUGGAAAGUACAGGCUAUUCAGACAGUAAGUACAAAUCUAAUUGUAUUUUGUACUCCAAAUAGUCAGGUAAUUGAAGACAUGGCAUGUUACUUAAUCCCUACCCAGAGCACAAGACAAUUUCUGCAAGGAGAGAGAAAUUCCGAAUGUGAAAAUGGAUUCAAUAACUCUAUUUCCAGAAUUUUAUCAUAAAGAAAGAAGAGCACAUUUGGCAAAAGUGCCUGUCUUUCAAGCACGCAGUGAGCACUGCGCUCCUCAAUGUAUGGCCUUCCCAGGUUCUUUCACAGAUGGGACUCUUCAGCUAUGUGUACUAGUUCCAAGGCUAUAAAUAUCACCCUUAACAAAUACAUAUGAAAAUAUCUUAACCACAUAGGCAGACUCUUGAUGAUACUGGUAAACCGUUUCUACCAAAAGAGAUUUUAGAUGCCCUUGAACAAACUGUCUGGAAAUGUUUAUCUAACUUCAAAUAAUCCUUUAUCUAAAAAGUGAUGCUUAGCAAUAUGACAAAUGGUUGGUUGAAUUUUUUUAAUGUUUAAAAACGAGUAACAUUUUUGGUUUAACACAUUUAAAGAACUGAUGAACUGGCUUUAACUAUUACAUACUUGAGUACCUUUUGAGGUCUAGUUUUUA